AAAACACUAACGAACGCUGGCGGCAUGCCUAACACAUGCAAGUCGAACGGUGGCUUCGGCCAUAGUGGCGCACGGGUGAGUAACGCGUGGGAAACUGCCCAUCAGUGGGGAAUAACAGAGGGAAACUUCUGCUAAUACCGCAUACGCCCUUCGGGGGAAAGAUUUAUCGCUGAUGGAUGUGCCCGCGUCCGAUUAGGUAGUUGGUGGGGUAAAGGCCUACCAAGCCUACGAUCGGUAGCUGGUCUGAGAGGAUGAUCAGCCACACUGGGACUGAGACACGGCCCAG
rnacentral:rRNA from 1 species